rnacentral:lncRNA from 1 species
AUAUAUAUAUAUAUAUAUAUAUAUAUAUAUAUAUAGAGUGUGGCUACUAUGCUUUCGGAAGCACGGAGCCUUCCGCGCUACCAGGUCGUUUUCGAUGUUUCGACUUUCGAAUCGUCGACCGGCUCCGUUAAAUUUGAUCUAGAGUAUUUGAAGUACUUAGAAAAUAAAUUUUAUGAUUUUUCAAUAUCAUUUGCCUAGUGAUCGAAGGGGCUCAAAAUCAAAUAAUUUUAAUGACCGUAGUGAGCCGUUUGCAAGUUUAACGGUGUAGAAAUUUUCAAAUCACGUGAAAUUUUGAUAAAAAGUUCUUUAUACUAUAUAAAAUAAGAUCAAUAUCUUUGAUCUAAAAUUUUAAUGUCAUAUUAUUAUGUUUUGUAAGAUUUUUAUUUUCAGCCGUUGAUUUUGAGCCCCUUCGUUCAUUAGGCAAAUGAUAUUGCAAAGUUACAAAAUUUAUUUCUAGGUAUUUCAAAUACUCUAGAUCAAGUUUAACGGAGCCGAUUGACGAUUCGAAAGUCGCAACAUCGAAAAUGAACUGGAAGCACAGAAGGCUCCGUGCUUCCAGAAGCAUAGUAGCCUCGCUCUAUAUAUAUAUAUGAGUCCGACUAUUAUACUCUUAUGAGUAUAGAGUCUCUUGUACUCAUAAAUUUCUUAUGAGUAUAGAACCUCUUAUACUUAUAAAUUUUUUGCCGUUUGAUCUACCCUUUAAUCAUUUUCAUCCGUUAGAUUAUACUAUUCAACCAACCACCUAUUCAACCCUAGGGGCCCACUAUCAACCUAAUCGUAACCACUCUCAUCCUAACCGCAUAUUUUUUCAUUCGAACGGUCGAAAAGAGCCUCUCCAUAUAUAUAUAUAUAUAUAUAUAUAUAUAUAUAUGCCUCACAAAAUUCUUGGGAUAUUCGAUUACACUAUACAAAUUUCUAAAAAAAUUGAAUAUACACAAACUAGAUGAUAAAGGCAAAACCAUGUAUCAUAUAUCAUGCAAAGGAUAUAUAUAUAUAUAUAUAUAUAUAUAUAUAUAUGAGUCCAGCUAUUAUGCUAUUAAUAGCAUGAAGCAUUUGGUGCUACCAAGUUUUCUACCGUUAGAUCUAUCCUUUUGAUCAUUUUCAUCCGUUAGAUCAUACUAUUCAACCAACCACCCACUCAACCCUAGAGGGCCCACAUCAUCUUAACUAUACAUCUCUUAAUCCAAUGGCCAAAAACUUGGUAGUACCAAUGACUUGGUACUAUUAAUAGCAUAGUAGCCUAGUUCUAUAUAUAUAUAUAUAUAUAUAUAUAUACAAAUA